ensembl:lncRNA
AUGAAUAUAAUUAUAUUAUUAGCUGUAGCCAUUGUGCAUCCAAGAGGAAAGCACUCCCGGCUUAUUAGCUCUGCUUAUGUGUCCUUCCCCAUCUCUGCAAAGCCACUCCCCUUCCUCCCUUCUAAUAGAAAUCUUGCCCAAGUUUUAGUCCCCAACUCAAUGCUUACAUUUUCUAAUAGCUCCAUUCCAAUUAAUUUGUGCAUUCCCUGAUGGAUGGCUGGUCCAUGUAUCUUCUUUUCUUUUCUUUUUUUUUUUUUUUUUUUUUUUUUUGAGACAGUCUCACUCUGUCGCCCAGGCUGGAGUGCACUGGCGCGAUCUCUGGUUACUGCAAGCUCCGCCUCCCGGGUUCACACCAUUCUCCUGCCUCAGCUUCCGAAGUAGCUGGGACUACUACACGCGCCCGCCUCCACGCCCGGCUAAUUUUUUUGUAUUUUUAGUAGAGUCGGGGUCUUCACCAUGUUAGCCAGGAUGGGUUUGGUGUCCUGACCUCGUGAUCCGCCCGCCUCGGCCUCCCAAAGUGCUGGGAUUACAGGCAUGAGCCACUGCGCCCGGCCAUGUAUCUUAUUUCGCCAGUGUCCCCCAUAGAAUCUCAUGUCUACUUUUAUUUUGUUAAUUAUUUCUUCAGUCAUUACCUAUUUUUAAUAAAUUUUAUUUUGUAUAUUUACAGUAUACAAUAUGAUGUUAUGAAACACAUGUAGAUACAUAAGUAAAAUGUUCAGGUAUGUCUACUCUUAAAAUAAAUUGAUACAUUUAACAAUGUCUCUCUCCAAACAGAAUUUAAAGCAGUAAUAAUAUCUGUUGAGUUUAGCCAAAUGUGAAUUCAGAAGAAUGCAUUUCUGAGGAGGAAGAAAAAUAUCAAGAGCAGCAGAUAAGGCAGACGUACCUGACAAGGUGCACCACAUCGGCCCCAGGCCUUCACCUACUGCACAGCUGAGCUAAGCCUGCUGUCACAUCCCACAACAGGCAAGUUGUCCCUGAAACCCUUUCAUGUUUUAUUUCACAUUAGAUGACACCACACAAUCUCCCAUCAUGACAUUUCAGAAACCAGUUGUUCCAAGGUAUUAAAAGCCGACUCAUCACAACUCAUUUGAACUGUUUGGAUAUACAAGGUGAUGCAGGUUCCAAGGGCAAGCUCUCUAUAUUUGCAUCUUAGAAAAAACAAAUCGCCCUGAUCUGUGAUUUGGUACUUAAAACUCUAAUCAUGCCUUGGGCUUAUUUGCAUCACAUUGUUUCAGAUACAUAUAGUGUCACUGAGGUAUAGUAAACAGGAUAUAUUGAAGAAAUUCCCAAAUUCCCAUUUUUAUUGUUAAUUGCUAUGAAAUUAUGAUACACCUGUAUUAUUUACUUAAUAAACCUGUGUUCCUAUUUAAAAAGAGAGUCUUAUUCCCAUGAAGGCAAACGAAAUAAGCAUUUAUAAAGAUACUUAUUUUCUUACAAAAAAAUUACAAUUAACUGAAAUCACUGAAAUAUUAAAGUAUUUGGUUGUCUGCUUAUUUACUGUCACUUUUUUCCUUAUACACAUUAAAUUUUUCUUCAAACUUUGAAUUCUACCUGGUUAAUUAGCUCAUAAUUCUGAAUGACAUUUGC